CCCGGCGUUGGAAACGCCGGGCUAUUGUCAAUCGUCCCUUCGGGACG
rnacentral:sRNA from 1 species